AACGAACGCUGGCGGCAGGCCUAACACAUGCAAGUCGAACGAGAAGCCACCUUCGGGUGGUGGAAAGUGGCAGACGGGUGAGUAACGCGUGGGAACGUGCCUUUCGGUUCGGAAUAAACCAGGGAAACUUGGGCUAAUACCGGAUACGCCCUUAGGGGGAAAGAUUCAUUGCCGAAAGAUCGGCCCGCGUCGGAUUAGCUAGUUGGUAGGGUAAUGGCCUACCAAGGCGACGAUCCGUAGCUGGUCUGAGAGGAUGACCAGCCACACUGGGACUGAGACACGGCCCAGACUCCUACGGGAGGCAGCAGUGGGGAAUAUUGGACAAUGGGGGAAACCCUGAUCCAGCAAUGCCGCGUGAAUGAAGAAGGCCUUAGGGUUGUAAAGUUCUUUUGUCCGUGACGAUAAUGACGGUAGCGGACGAAUAAGCCCUGGCUAACUCUGUGCCAGCCGCCGCGGUAAAAC
rnacentral:rRNA from 1 species